rnacentral:lncRNA from 1 species
GAGAAUGCAUCAAGAGAACAAUGGCAUCAAGAGAACAAAUUAUUCUUGUUUAGAAUGUUUUGUUUCUAACCACCCCCCACCAAAAAAAAAAAAAAAACAACCAAAAGAAUGCUUUGUUACUUCCAUCUGGAUGUGGGUAUAUACGAGUUCACCUCACAAAAAAAUAUCAGCUCAUUCUCUCUGGCUGUAGUAAGAAGAACUAGUUUGCGGGGAGCUCACAGUCCAUGCAAAGGAAUCAACUAAAAGGCUAUCAAAGUGAUCCAGAUGACCUAGGGUCAGACUGGUGGCCUGGGUCACAUCCUUGCUUGUUCCCCUGAGAAAUCCUUCAAGAAGAGGGGACAAGCUUUUGUGCAGUUGCUGUUCCUGUGAAGCCUGGCCUUUUGCUCCCUAUUUGAGCCCUCUGCUCACCUCUCAGCUCAGCAAGCAGAGCAAGAAGAGCAAGAAGCACCUCCAAGAAGAACCUCUCUCACCCCAUGUCUGCCAUUUGCCCUCUGAAACUGCAAUAGUACAAAGUGAUGACAGCACCACAUAUGAUUCCUCUCACAACAGCUCAACUCUGCCUUUGUUUCCCACAUUUGUGGUAGGAAAGUGGCCACAGACAAUAUGUAAACGAAAGAGCAUGCUGUAUUCCAAUAAAAG